GUCGAGAAUCUUUCACAAUGGGGGCAACCCUGAUGGAGCGACGCCGCGUGGAGGAUAAGGUCUUCGGAUUGUAAACUCCUGUCAUGCGUGAACAAGGUUGCUUGGUUAAUACCUGGGCAAAUUGAUGGUAACGCAAGAGGAAGAGACGGCUAACUCUGUGCCAGCAGCCGCGGUAAUACAGAGGUCUCAAGCGUUGUUCGGAAUCACUGGGCGUAAAGGGUGCGUAGGUGGCGUGGUAAGUCAGAUGUGAAAGCCCGGGGCUCAACCUCGGAACUGCAUCCGAUACUGUCAUGCUAGAGUACUGGAGAGGUGACUAGAAUUCUCGGUGUAGCAGUGAAAUGCGUAGAUAUCGAGAGGAAUACCAAAGGCGUAGGCAGGUCACUGGACAGUUACUGACACUGAGGCACGAAGGCCAGGGGAGCGAACGGGAUUAGAAACCCCUGUAGUCC
rnacentral:rRNA from 1 species